CGGGGUGCACCAGGCGCGAAAACUUUACAAUGCCGGCAACGGCGAUAAGGGAACCUCGAGUGCCAGGUUACAAAUCUGGCUGUCGUGAUGCCUAAAAAGCAUUGCAUAGCAAGGGCCGGGCAAGACCGGUGCCAGCCGCCGCGGUAACACCGGCGGCUCGAGUGGUAACCGUUAUUAUUGGGUCUAAAGGGUCUGUAGCCGGCCGGGUAAGUCUCUUGGGAAAUCUGGCAGCUUAACUGUCAGGCUUUCAGGAGAUACUGCCUGGCUCGAGGCCGGGAGAGGUGAGAGGUACUUCAGGGGUAGGGGUGAAAUCUUGUAAUCCUUGAAGGACCACCAGUGGCGAAGGCGUCUCACCAGAACGGACCUGACGGCAAGGGACGAAAGCUAGGGGCACGAACCGGAUUAGAUACCCGGGUAGUCCUAGCCGUAAACGAUACUCGCUAGGUGUCGGCCACGGUGCGACCGUGGUCGGUGCCGUAGGGAAGCCGUGAAGCGAGCCACCUGGGAAGUACGGCCGCAAGGCUGAAACUUAAAGGAAUUGGCGGGGGAGCACAAGGGCGAAUCGC
rnacentral:rRNA from 1 species